AUGUUGGCCAGGCUGGUCUGGAACUCCUGACUUGAAGUGAUCUGCCCACCUCGGCUUCCCAAAGUGCUGGGAUUACAGGCGUGAGCCACUGCGCCUGGCCCCUUCAGGUGGGUAUUGAGGCUUCACUACAAUACUAGUUCCCCGUUGCUGCCGCAAUAAAUUGCCACACACUUAGUGGCUUAAAACAGCACAGAGGUAUUCCUUUACAUUUCUGAAGGCCAGAAUUCUAAAGUCAGUCCCACUGAGUCAACGUGGGAGCAGGGUCAGUGCCUUCCCAGGCUCUGCGGGAGAAUCUGUUUCCUGGCCCUGGAGGCGGCCUGUACUCCUCAGCUUGUGCUGCCCUUCUCGAAUGACUCGCGUUUCCUGCUUUCAUCACUACACCUCCCACCGCUCUCCAUCACCUGCUCUGCUCUUAUAAGGAUCCAGAGAAAUGGAAUAAUCUUAUUGCUGAUCUAUGUAAACAAGUUGAAGAAUUGUCUGAAAGAAAAUAUGGUGUGUCUAAACUGGAAAAGUCCUGUAAUACUUUGUUCAUAAGCAUUUACACAAUGGAGUUACUGUUCAUCAUGGGGGUACUGUGGACAAGCCCAGGGCUGCUGACAUGAAGUUAUGAAUUUAAGAUGUGAAGAUUUACAGCUUGAUAAACCAGCUUCAGGAGACAUGAUCUUAUGAAUUCAACACAUGAAGAUUUACAACUUGAUAAACCAGCUUCAGGAGAUCAGAACUUCUUACAAUACAGCUGACGUUACUCAGCCUAGAACAAAUACAACAGGGAUUGUGCUGCAUUCUGACUUGGAUUCUGCCAUCGAACACAGAAUGCCCUGAUUCUUAGAUGCAGAGGCAGCUCUUCAGCCUAUGGGGGUUGCUGUAAAAUAUUACAGGCAUACUUUGGAGAUAUUACAGGUUUGGUUCCACACCACUGCAAUAAAGCCUUCCACAUAUACAGUCAUAUUUCUUAUAUUACACGAAAACUGUGGAUUUAGUUACUCCACUCUGCCAUGUCUUUCCACCACUGCCUGCACAUUUGAGACCAAGGAUAGAGAUUGGGAAAAAUUGAUAGUUCUCCUGCCUCAGAGUUUGGCUCCUGCACUCUCAUUUCAGCCAUAGCUGCAGACAAAGCACACGAUUGCUGGGCACUGUGGCUCAAGAGAAGGAGGAGAUGACUCCAGCGGGAGGAAGAAGAGGCCUUUGCCAGCAGUCAGAGCAGCCAAGGGGCCCAAUCCCUCACAUUCUCCAAGUUUGAAGGAAAGAAAACCAACAAGAAGACCCGCAAGGUUACCACAGUGAAGAAAUCUUCAGUACGUCUUCCAGGGUCGGAUCAAAGAAGGCAGAAAUUCAGGAAGCAAAAGCUCCCAGUCCUUCCAUAAACCGGCAAACCAGCAUUGAAACGGAUAGAGUGUCUAAGGAGUUCAUAGAAUUUCUCAAGACCUUCCGCAAGACAGGCCAAGAAAUGUAUAAACAGACCAAGCUGUUUUUGGAAGGGAUGCAUUACAAAAAGUGCCUCCAGAAUGACUUGAGAAGAUAAAUGGAUCAGAUUGAAAAGUACAUCAUGACUCAUCUCUAUAAAUAUGUGUUCUGUCCAGAAACUGCUGAUGAUGAGAUGAAAGAUCUUGCCAUUCAAAAGAGGAUCAGAGUGGAAGCUGCUCUGUGGUGUCAGAAAGACAAGGAAUGUGGUGACCUCACCUAUCCAUCUCCCUCAAGGCAGCUUUUGAGCCCUGCACUGGGUUACACCUCAGAUGCUGUGUGUCCCUGUUAAUGAAGACAUCCCAGAAGUGUCUGAUAUGGUGUUGAAGGCAAUCACAGCUUAAGCUCUUGGACCUCAGCUGAGGCAGUAAAAGAACCAUAUCCUGUGUUUGAAUCAAACCCCGAGUUCCUGUAUGUUUAGAAGGUUUGCCAGACAGGAUUCCCUUUUGAAGCCCUCCUGGUUUGGAAUUCCAUGACUUAAAAGGAUCGUCCGUGGGAGUAAUAACAUCAAGUUUGUUGGUAAAAACUUCACAGUUUCUAAAAAGACCACGAAGCCCUGAGAGUAAUGAAAAGGUUCCUGAAAUUGAGGUCACUGUGGAAGAAGGAAACGUGUCAUGUACCAGCUAUCCAUCCAAUGACUGCCCAUCAGUUCCAUAUUCACCCUUCACUGCCUGAUCUGCAAACAUAGAGGAAGUGACCUCAUAAUGACUCAAGCUACCACUUGCUGUUGAUUGUGAUGAAAUGCCAGUGGAGGCACAUGCCUUGGGAGCUAAGUGGCUGCUGCACUUGACCACUAUGAAGACUGGUGUGGGAAGAAUCCUUUUGGAUGCACUUCAGCAGGGACCCCUGAUCCUGGGUCACAGGCCUGUACUGGGCCACACAACAGGAGGAGAAUCUAAUGCCUGAUGAUCUGUCAUUGUCUCCCAUCACCUCCAGAUGGGACCAUCUAGUUGCAGGAAAAGAAGGUCAAGACUCCCACUCAUUCUACAUUAUGUCUUCCUGUGUUGCCCAGGCUGGAGCACAGUGGUUUGAUCUUGGCUCACUGCAGUCUCAACCUCUCAGGCUCAAGCUAUCCUUCUGCCUCAGACUCUGGGGUAGCUGGGACAACAGCCUCAGCCAAGAUGUCUCACCCUACUCUCUAUGAUGCAACAAGAAGCCCCUGGGGAAUGUUUCAGUCCCAGUCUGUACUAUUGUCAUGUGCUCAUCACAGUCUGCUGGAUCUACCAUGAAAGACUUCAGAGUUCAGGAAGAGAGACUGACUGGGCAACAUCUUAUUCAGGUACAAAAAGACUUGGACUAUGACUCAAAAAUGAUCAAAUAAUAGUUCAUGCAUCAAAUGCAAUAGGAAGUACUUCUGGAGGGUGAGAGAAGCAUCCAGUUAAGGUGACAUUGAAGCUGGGUCCUGAAAGAUGAGGAAGAGUUGUAUGAGAGUGGGCAGAGAAGGGGGAGGUGGAGGGAUGGGGAAUGGGCUGGGAUGGAGUGAGCUGCUCAAGCAGGGAGACCAGCACUGUAAAGACCUGGACGAUAAAGACGGCACAUUUUAUUCAGGGAAUGGUGAAUUAAGUGUGGCAGAAAUGCUUUGGAGAGAUAGUAAUUUGCCUGUAUGGAAUUUUGCCCGAGAGGCCUCAUUACAGUUUCUAAUCUUUUGAUGUUAUCAUCUAUCACUGUCCUUGUCAAAUAGUUUGGAAUAGGUAUAAUGAUCACAAUAACAUCAAGCAUAAUAUUUCAUUAAUUCUCACAAAAUCACAGGUAGGUGCCACAGUUAUCCCCAUUUUGUGAAUGAAGUGAUGAAGACUUAGGAAUAAUGAGUGAUUUGCCCAAGCUCACCGGGAUAUUAAGACUGAGUCAAAUGUGGGGUCUGGUCUGACUUUAAUGUUUGCUUUGUUCAUGAGCACCACGUAUUGCCUCUCCUAUGCAGUUAAGCAGGUAGACAGGUGAAAGAAAAGCCCGUGUUAGUCUCUACUCACACACUUCCGACUGAAUGUGUGUGUGGAAUUUCUACACCAAGUUCUCCAAUGCUCUGGAUAUUAACUGGGUAUCCUACAAUUUUAUUCUGACACUUCCUGGAGUUGGCGUAGACCCCACAGGUUACGGGCUCAGUCCCACAAGACCACCCUUGCUUCACAUUGCAAUGGCAAGUCCUAGGUUGUCACCUGUACUUUUGACCAACCUGUUACAAAUCAGGGGUUCCCAUGACCCCCUCUUGGAGUUUAAUCAUUUGCUAGAGCAGCUUACAGAACUCAGAAAAACAGUUUGUUUCCUUUUUUUCUGAGAGACAGGUGGCUCACGCUGUAAUCCCAACACUUUGGGAGGCUGAGGUAGGAGGAUUGCUUAAACUCAGGAGUUUGAGACCAGCCUGGGCAACAUGGUGAAACCCUGUCUCUGUAAAAAAUUUUUAAAAAGCUGGGCACGGUGGCUCAAGCCUGUAAUCCCAGCACUCUGGGAGGCCAAGGUGGGUGAAUCACGAGGUCAGGAGUUGAAGACCAGUCUG
rnacentral:sRNA from 1 species